rnacentral:rRNA from 1 species
AACGCGAAGAACCUUACCCAGGCUUGAACUGCAGAGGACACUCUACGAAAGUAGACUUCCGCAAGGACUUCUGUAGAGGUGCUGCAUGGCUGACGUCAGCUCGUGUCGUGAGAUGUUGGGUUAAGUCCCGCAACGAGCGCAACCCUUGUCUUCUGUUGCCAUCAGGUUAAGCUGGGCACUCUGAAGAGACUGCCGGUGACAAACCGGAGGAAGGUGGGGAUGACGUCAAGUCAGCAUGGCCUUUAUGUCUGGGGCCACACACGUGCUACAAUGGCAGGUACAAACCGUCGCGAGACCGCAAGGUGGAGUUAAUCGGAUAAAGCCUGUCUCAGUUCGGAUUGUCGGCUGCAACUCGCCGGCAUGAAGUUGGAAUCGCUAGUAAUCGCGGAUCAGCACGCCGCGGUGAAUACGUUCCCGGGCCUUGUACACACC